UCCGAUGUGGUCUAGUGGCUAGGAUUACCCGCUCUCAUCUGAUGAGCUCGUUCCGGGUAGGCCCGGGUUCAAUUCCCGGCAUCGGAA